GGACCCGCACAAGUAGUGGAGCAUGUGGUUUAAUUCGAAGAUACGCGCAGAACCUUACCAACACUUGACAUGUUUGUCGCGACUUUAAGAGAUUAAAGUCUUCGGUUCGGCCGGACAAAACACAGGUGCUGCAUGGCUGUCGUCAGCUCGUGUCGUGAGAUGUUGGGUUAAGUCCCGCAACGAGCGCAACCCUCACUUUUAGUUGCCACCAUUUAGUUGGGCACUCUGAAAGAACUGCCAGUGAUAAGCUGGAGGAAGGUGGGGAUGACGUCAAGUCCUCAUGGCCCUUACGUGUUGGGCUACACACGUGCUACAAUGGCAUUUACAAUAGGAUGCAAGACGGCGACGUUAAGCAAAUCCUAAAAAAUGCCUCAGUUCGGAUUGUACUCUGCAACUCGAGUACAUGAAGCUGGAAUUACUAGUAAUCGCGGAUC
rnacentral:rRNA from 1 species